rnacentral:rRNA from 1 species
CCUACGGGAGGCAGCAGUGGGGAAUAUUGCUCAAUGGGGGAAACCCUGAAGCAGCAACGCCGCGUGAGGGAUGAAGGUUUUCGGAAUGUAAAACCCUUUUGAGAGGGCAGAAAAUGACGGUACCUCACCAAUUAGCUCCGUCUCACUUCGUGCCAGCAGCCGCGGUAAUACGGAGGGUGCAAGCGUUAUCCGGAUUCACUGGGCGUAAGGGGGGCGCAGGCGGCCUUGUAAGUCAGAGGUGAACGCCUGGGGCUCAACCACAGAACUGCUGUGGAAACUGUGAGGCUAGAGUAUGGGAGGGGCAGGUGGAAUGCGUGGUGUAGCGGUGAAAUGCGUAGAUAUCAGGAGGAACACGAAUGGCGAAGGCGGCCUGCUGGACCAUUACUGACGCUGAUGCACGAAAGCGUGGGGAGCAAACAGGAUUAGAUACCCGAGUAGUC